ensembl:lncRNA
CUUCACCGUCAGUAUCUAUUGCGCGAACAAUGACGCAGACAAUUGGACUUGAUAACCACAAAGAUUCACUUCAUAUGUUUGUAAAUUUAUUAAAAAUGUUAAAUUGCAUCUUCGGAACAUGACAUCCAGCCCAAUUUCUGGCAUCAGUAGGCACACAACAGCUGCAGCACGACCAGAAGGGGCUUAAAACAUGUCACCCCUUGAAUCAUUCACUGGAAUAACUUCACCAACUUUCAUUUUGCAUCUUAUUCAAAUGCAGAAUGUGUUGCAUAAAGAGCAUGUGAACUUAACUGAAAACCAGACUGAAUUUUUCUCAACAGUAAAUGAGCAUUCACAAACGACACAAUCAAACUUUCCUUCUGACGAAAUGUCCAGUUCAUGCGCAACAGAAGAUGUACAAAAACACCUUGGGCGGACUGCGCAGUCUGCUGUUACUGGGAAAAAGUUCUCUCCUAUUGUCCACACGGAUUUGAGUUUCUCAAGUACAGAGACACAAUCGCUCCCCAGAGGUUCAUUACAGUCCAGGGAAGGGAGUGAAGAUAUUUCACAUGACACCACUCCAUUUGCUGAAAGUGACUCAGGGGUAUCUGCUGGGUUUGUAUCAGACCUGCCAGUGAUAAACAGGAAGAGGAGGAUUAUAUCACCCGAUUCUCUCAGCGGACUGGCGCAAAUCUCAGAUGAUAUCUUCGGCACUGGCAACUACACAGCAGAGAUGAGUCUGAACUUGGAGAGAGAUAUCAUGCCUGGAGAUCUCAUCCCUGCCCUCGGAAACCUAUGUGUCGUCAUCAUCCUCAAAACAAAUAACAGCCAGGUGAACCUAGAGAUAAAAUCCUGCUGCCUCUCGCCCACCGUCAGACUUGGUGAAUUUAACACCACCUGCUGCAUUUUUUCCAGGUAAUGUGCACUUCUCAGGUUAUUUUAGAUUAACUGAAAUCACAUGGUGCCCUUGAACCAGGCCACAUUUCACAUUAUGUUGCCAGAUCAACUACAUGUUCAGAGCAUGGCUGGAUUAUACGGAUCCCAUCUUCCUCGUUUUUAGGUGAAAGUUUAAUACAUCAGCAUUCGUUCCUGUUUAUAUGUCUACAUUGGUCACCUUAUCACAGGGGAACAGCAUUAUAAUGAUUGGCUAAGAAACAUUCCCUCAAACUGUUUAACUUGAGAAAGCUAUAAAUAUCCUGGGGAAAGCAUGUCCCUAUAUCGAGCUGAAAGUUCUGUUGCUAGAGCAGUACUGUAAACUGCUGAUGUCUGUGUCCCUGCUGGUGUGUGAAGUAUUCACUUUCUCAGCUCUGUUGCCAAUAGCACAUUGCCACUAAUAUCCAGAGACAGCACAAUGUGUACUGCUUUC